GAUGAACGCUGGCGGCGUGCCUAAUACAUGCAAGUCGAGCGAACGGACGAGAAGCUUGCUUCUCUGAUGUUAGCGGCGGACGGGUGAGUAACACGUGGAUAACCUACCUAUAAGACUGGGAUAACUUCGGGAAACCGUAGCUAAUACCGGAUAAUAUUUUGAACCGCAUGGUUCAAAAGUGAAAGACGGUCUUGCUGUCACUUAUAGAUGGAUCCGCGCUGCAUUAGCUAGUUGGUAAGGUAACGGCUUACCAAGGCAACGAUGCAUAGCCGACCUGAGAGGGUGAUCGGCCACACUGGAACUGAGACACGGUCCAGACUCCUACGGGAGGCAGCAGUAGGGAAUCUUCCGCAAUGGGCGAAAGCCUGACGGAGCAGCGCCGCGUGAGUGAUGAAGGUCUUCGGAUCGUAAAACGCUGUUAUUAGGGAAGAACAUAUGUGUAAGUAACUGUGCACAUCUUGACGGUACCUAAGCAGAAAGCCACGGCUAACUACGU
rnacentral:rRNA from 1 species